rnacentral:sRNA from 1 species
UUUUAGCCCUGAUGGGAGCGGCAUCCUUUUUCGGUGGCUAAGGUAUCAUGCUGAGCUUGUCGAAGUACUCUCGAAGUCACCGGAAAAGAUAGAGCUGACAGCAGGAAUUACC